GAUGAACGCUGGCGGCGUGCCUAAUACAUGCAAGUCGAGCGAACGGACGAGAAGCUUGCUUCUCUGAUGUUAGCGGCGGACGGGUGAGUAACACGUGGAUAACCUACCUAUAAGACUGGGAUAACUUCGGGAAACCGGAGCUAAUACCGGAUGAUAUUUUGAACCGCAUGGUUCAAAAGUGAAAGACGGUCUUGCUGUCACUUAUAGAUGGAUACGCGCUGCAUUAGCUAGUUGGUAAGGUAACGGCUUACCAAGGCAACGAUGCAUAGCCGACCUGAGAGGGUGAUAGGCGACACUGGAACUGAGACACGGUCCAGACUCCUACGGGAGGCAGCAGUAGGGAAUCUUCCGCAAUGGGCGAAAGCCUGACGGAGCAACGCCGCGUGAGUGAUGACGGUCUUCGGAUCGUAAAACUCUGUUAUUAGGGAAGAACAUAUGUGUCCGUAACUGUGCACAUCUUGACGGUACCUAAUCAGAAAGCCACGGCUAACUACGUG
rnacentral:rRNA from 1 species